GGUUACUGCUAUCGAGGUUCGACUAAGCCAUGCGAGUCGAAUGUAGCAAUACAUGGCGAACUGCUCAGUAACACGUGGACAACCUGCCCUUAGGUUGGGUAUAAACCCGGGAAACUGGGUAUAAUACCCGAUAGGUCUCGAUUGCUGGAAUGCAUCGAGAUUUAAAGCUCCGGCGCCUAAGGAUGGGUCUGCGGCCUAUCAGGUAGUAGUGGGUGUAGCGUACCUACUAGCCUACGACGGGUACGGGUUGUGAGAGCAAGAGCCCGGAGAUGGAUUCUGAGACACGAAUCCAGGCCCUACGGGGUGCAGCAGGCGCGAAAACUUUACAAUGCUGGCAACAGCGAUAAGGGAACCUCGAGUGCCAGGUUACAAAUCUGGCUGUCGAGAUGCCUAAAAAGCAUUUCAUAGCAAGGGCCGGGCAAGACCGGUGCCAGCCGCCGCGGUAACACCGGCGGCUCGAGUGGUAACCGUUAUUAUUGGGUCUAAAGGGUCUGUAGCCGGCCGGAUAAGUCUCUUGAGAAAUCUGGCAGCUUAACUGUCAGGCUUUCAGGAGAUACUGUCUGGCUCGAGGCCGGGAGAGGUGAGAGGUACUUCAGGGGUAGGGGUGAAAUCUUGUAAUCCUUGAAGGACCACCAGUGGCGAAGGCGUCUCACCAGAACGGACCUGACGGCAAGGGACGAAAGCUGGGGGCACGAACCGGAUUAGAUACCCGGGUAGUCCUA
rnacentral:rRNA from 1 species